rnacentral:rRNA from 1 species
GAUGAACGCUGACAGAAUGCUUAACACAUCAGCAAUUGAUUGGUGGCUGACGAGUGAGUAACGCGUAAAGAACUUGCCUCCCAGCUAGGGACAACAUUUUGAAACGAAUGCUAAUACCUACUACUGUGAGAGAGCUUUGCGUACCAUUAGCUAGUUGGCGAGGUAACGGCUCACCAAGGCGAGGAUGGGUAGCCGGCCUGCGCGGGUGAUCGGCCACAAGGGGACUGAGACACGGCACCUACUCCUACGGGAGGCAGGAGUGGGGAAUGUUGGAGAAUGGACCAAAGUCUGAUCAAGCAAUUCGGUGUGAACGAUGAAGUUUUCGGAAGGUAAAGUGCUUUCAGUUGGGAAGCGGUACCAAAAGAAGAAGUGACGGCUAAAUACGUGCCAGCAGCCGCGGUAAUAC